UACGUAGGGGGGCAAGCGUUGUCCGGAUUUAUUGGGCGUAAAGAGCGUGUAGGCGGCUUUACAGGUCCGUUGUGAAAACUCGAGGCUCAACCUCCAGCGGUCGUUGGAAACUACUUGGCUAGAGUCCGGAAGAGGAGAGUGGAAUUCCUGGUGUAGCGGUGAAAUGCGCAGAUAUCAGGAAGAACACCGAUGGCGAAAGCAGCUCUCUGGGACGGUACUGACGCUGAGGCGCGAAAGCGUGGGGAGCGAACAGG
rnacentral:rRNA from 1 species